CUGGGGGACUAUAAUACCUACUAAAAUUAUUUCACUAACUAAUGGGGGACUACUAUGCCUACUAAAAUUUUUUGAUGUACUUAUUGCACCAUUUAAAUUCUAAAAUUAAUUUUAUAACUAAUUUUUAAAAUUAAAUUUUAAAAUAACUACCCGCAGCAUCGCGCGGGUCCCUUAACUAGUUUAAAAAUUAAAUACAAAACACAAACUAUUUCACAAAUUUGUGGUAUAUGACCCCACGCAUAAACCCAGCCGACAUCAUUUCAGCAUAUGUCACAUAUCCAAAUUAAAGUAGACAAACCGUCUCGCCAAUCAUAAUAACCGGAUACCUGAAGAAAGUACGACAUGCUAUUAUGUUUAGGCAAAAUAUGUUCCACGAUCUAAUAGAACGUGUGGCAGGAUUCAUAAACACAUAUUUUCUUAAAUGAGACUAUUUAUUCGCAGUGGUUACUAAAUAUUAACCAAACUAGUGAAAAGGGAGCUGAUCUUGGUAGCCUUUGCAUGUCAUAUUCCCGAAAUAAAGAAAUAACAAAAGAGUUGAGAUGCAGUAUCCAUGGUUCUGCUUGGGAAAAAAAAAGAUCUAUAUCACGGUUAUCAUGAUUUAGAGUAUGUCUACUGAAAUUCAUGAUUCUUAUGUAAGAUCAUGUUAGAACCUUUGGAUUCUGGUGCAUUUUUUGUUCAGAUUCAGUACAUAAUAAACAGAUAUAAAAUAGCUACAUUAAGAUGCUUUUGUGAAAAUCAACAACUAAGCAUACUUCUAAUUAUUCAGGCUGUUGCGUGGGUAUUCUUGGGAAUUUUUUCACUCAUUAGAUUUCAAGCUGAUUAUCUACUCGUAGUCGGAGUUUGCUUGAGCCUCAGCGUUGCGAACAUUGUUGGCUUCACUAAAUGUCGCAAAGGUAUGAAUAUUUUCAAUCUCUCCUUCUCUAGACUUUCUGCGUAAAAUAUCUUGUGCAAUUUUAUCCAUUUUAUUGCUGAGGUUUGUUCUUUCAUUUGUCUAUCUUCUGUUACUGGAUGUGGAUUGUUAUUAGGAAAGUCUUUCUUUUUAUUUAAGGAAAGUGAGCAUUUCUACUUUUAAACCAGAUAAGCAUGACUUUCAUAAUGUGGGUAAAUCAUAACUUGCUUGUGCUCGAUGAACUUCCAAUGGGUUUCAUUUUUCUCUUCUUUUUUUUCUUUUUUGUGACUUGAAGCUGUCUGAACUUCCUCCUAUAUAUUGAUGCUUUACAAUAUUUUGUUCCAUUCCUUGGUGAUAAAAUAAAAUGCAGUGUUGACGAUUAGUUAGAUAUUCGGUUGUAUUUCUUACACUAGUGGGAUCAGCUUUGUAACUAAUUCUAGACGAACAACUAAUAGAUUAUAUUUAAUGCUUUUCCGGUUUUCUGGACUAGUGCAUCUCUUACAAUCGAUCUUGGAGUUUUUCCUCAUCAAUGAUCAAUGAUAAGAACUAAUCCUUACAUAUACGGGCAAUAGUGGGCCGGGUUCGGAUUAGGCUGACUUCAUAUAGUAACACUAUGUUUAUGCCUGAUUACUCUUUUUUUUUUUCCCGUCUAUAGUCUGUCUUUAUUAAGUUAAUCGACGUAGACAUACAUAUACGCUCUUUGCUUAUUAGCUCAUUAUCUUUGUAUCGCUCAAUAUUAUGCACUUGAGAUAUCACUCUAUCAUGUUUACCGAAAAUGUAAGUGCUAUUUCUUGUGCGGUGCAGAUGCCAGGAAACAGAUCCAACAGUUUGCUUCGCAAACGAUCGCAUCCCGCUUUUCGUCUACGCUACAAUCAGCAUUUAGUGUUGUUUGACCAACCAUACAGGAAAAUAAUAUUUGGUAGUGUAAAAUUUGUCAUAACAGCAUGUGUUUCUUUUUCUUUUCCUUUUUUUUUUCUCUUUCUUUCAUUUCUUUUUUUCUCUUCUUCUUUUUUGCUCUUCCCAACUUCAUAGUUGCUCCCCCGUCUCAGGACAAAGUUCUAAGCUUCUGUAUUUCGUUUUCCCGACGUUACAUUGCACCUUUUACCUUUUCCAUUGUUAAAGAGGUGAUGUUUUUUUGUUUUUUUACCCCCAAAAAUGGACUGAAAAUUGCACCAUAGAAGUUCUCAUUUGCUGGAAAGGGAUAUAUGACUGUAAUGUUUAUUUUAUUUCUAUUGGUUGUUGUGGUACAUUUAAUAAUUACCUGUAUGAAUUUCAUUCUAUCUAAUCUUGUGGACACAUAUUUCCUGCGGAGGCAAGCCCAAGAUGUCCAUUUGCUGUUGCCUCCCUGAUGGGCCCACUGCUCUCCCAACAUAAAAAUAGCAGAGGAAAUUUUAUGGCGCACAAUAUAUUAGGAUUUAGGAUUUUUGGGUUUAGAUUUGAAUUUUAGAAUUUAUUCUUAAUCUUUCUUCUUCUUUCUUUUUUUGAAUGUACUGUAUCUAACGGUAGAACCCGAUCAGGUGUGUGAUUUUAUUACUUUUUCAUAAAAUAUGAAAAAACAGAAAAUGUCUCCAAAAUUGGUUUUUUCUAAAGACUAAGGUUUCGUUUGAAAUUGCGGCGGUGAGAAAGUAUCUCUCUGUUUUCAUAAGUAAUAUUGCGUUCCGCAUAUCGCAAUAUAGUCAGUUAUGAUAUAUUUUCUGUGGUCCCACUGGUAGGACCGCAGAAAUAUAUUCCUAUAUACUUUUUUCUCGAAAUCUAAUAAUAUUUGAUAGGCCUCAAUACCAAACCAUUUUAUCUAAUAACGUUUGAUAGAUCUCAAUACCAAACUACGGAUGAAAAAUAUUUUUCCACCACAAAAACUGUUUUUUCUUAGAAAAAAUAUUUUCCGUGUGCCCCAAAACACUCCCUAAGAGAAAGGCAAGAAGACAAAAGCCGCAUAAAUAAAACAUGAAAGAUACCCUAAAAUUAUUGCCGACAAAAUUAUACACGUUUACAUUUAGACCAAUUAACUAACCUUUGUCAUGCAGAAGCGCGUUCAAUAUUACAAAUAAACAAAAAAAAAAGGGAGAAAUUAAAAAAAAAAAAAAGAAAAGAAAAGAAAAGGAGAAAGAGCCCACACAUCUGUACACCUGUAUGGUAGAAUUACACGGGUGGCGUCUGUGGUUAUGUACACCCCAAACCAUCCUCCCCCUGCUUUAUUUCUCCUUCUGUCGGAGCUUUAGGAGUUGGGAUUGUGUUUCGCCACCGACUUUUUCCUAAAUUUGUGAUAACCGUCGACGACGACACUCGUGUGUUCGAGCACAAUGAUAUUGCUUCUUCCGGAUUAAUUUUGACUUGUAUCAUACAGACGGACAUCUUAGCCGUGUAAAUAUAUGGACGGCGGCCCUUUAACUUAGGUCGAAACCAGCUUCUGCGUUUAUCGCAUACAGCAAUUUGGUCCGCAGCUGCUCCUUACUGUUCCUCCGAAAUGCACCAACUCAUCAGUCAUAGGGAAGAAAAAGAAGGCAGUGGUAAAUAAAAGAAAGGAAUGUAUGGAUAGUCCCUGUACUGUCCUAAUAACAUGACUUUGGCCUCACUUUAGUCCUAAGCCGUUAAAGAAGUAAUAAAAAGACCUCCUUAACCCUGUUUGAAGUAGAUUGAAGUGGUUCGGUCUCAUAGGAGUAAGAGGUGUAAAAUGUCCAUUUAACAAGAUUUUUUUUUUUUUUUUGAAGCCCAGGCAAAAGUGCAGUCUAUAUGAAAGUUCUAGGGUUAAAAGUAUGGGAACCUAACCACAAUAUUUGGGAUGGUACAGGGAUUGUUCAUCUAUUUUAGCAAAUAUAAUUUGCCGAAUGUGUUAACUUAAUAUCAAUAUCUAAUUUUGGUUGACAUGUGCGGCGGCUGUAGCAGGUGCUUUAAAUUUUAACAAAUCAAUGUUGUCAUCCAAUUUGGUUUCUGAGACAAGAUAAAAUGAAGGACUUUUUUUUUUUUCUAAAAAAAAAAUAUGCUGUAUGGACAAAAAUGAAGUUGCGCACAGCUGAACCAAGAACAAGACUAUCUGCUACGCGUUGUUUACGGUAAGGUUAAAAUGAAAGGAAGCCAAACUAGGAUCCAAAAAUUCUGCGUGACAAGCAUUUAAAUAGACUAACCUUCUGUAGGGCGGGAGCUUAAGUAGGUUCAUGCAAGUUGCUGAAGUGGGAAGACGGUCGAGAUCCUCUUCUGCGGCAUCAAAAGAACCAGCCCUGCAUUUGAACAAAGCCAAAACCGGAAGCCGAUGAAUGAACAAAGAUUUGUAAUGAAAGAAGGUAACGGAAACACAGAGAUGAGAAAAUAAAAAUGGGAAGGGUGUAAUGGACCUCUGUAUGCAGAAAUUCGGUUCGAUAUACUUGAAACCGAGAAGAGGUCCUCGAGAGCAUCCGGUUACAAACCUGUGAAUGAGAAUGGUCAGUUAUAUUGCAUAAACUAUAGCUUGGUUAAUUACACAAUAAUAGAAUAAUAGUUAACUGUUAACAGAUCAAGAUGAUUGUGAAGAGAAGAUGAAUCCGGCAAGCUUAGAUACUAGUAUUACGAAUUCUUCGUGUUUAGUAGCAAUAUUAGCUUUUUCUAAGAAUAUUGACAAAUUUACAAUUAUUUGGUAUGGACAAUCUCUAAAAUAAGUGGUCAGAAAAGGCAAUAUAAGUACGGAAGGACCAGAGUAUCAUAAGCCUUGUCCACCAGAAGAAACUAUAUAACCUCAUAGUGUACUAAAAAGGAACCCUCUUUUGCAGGAAAAUAAAGAAAAGAUAACAACAAUAAGAUGCAUAAAGAACAACCGUAUGAUUAUACAUGCAUAUAUCCAUGUUAUAAUGAAGGAAGGCGCGUACUUUAAAAAUUUCUUCUGGUGCUCCAGAGAGAAGCUCUUAACAACCUCCCAGAACAUCUCAAUAACAUGGUGAUCCUGCAAAAAAAACAUCUAUCACUCCCAGUACCAACAAAUAAAUAAAUUACUCGAAAACAAGAAAGGAUAUAGAAGAUGGGAGCAAAGACAAAGGCUUUCAUUCCUCACUAGCAUGAUCUUAAGCAUCUUUUAUUAAAAGUUCGCCUUUAAACAAGACUGCAAGCGAAAAAAUUAACAGGAGAUUUCGCAUUGCACAUCCUAGUGCCAAGUGUAUUCAGAUGGCACAAGUUCACCAGGAGUUGAACAAAUCUUUUUUUCUUUAUUUUUUUGGAAAACAUGCUUAGGGCUGUUACAGAUCACUGCCCAAACUUGAAAAGUUAAAAUAAACUACAUAAACUUUGUAAUUGUUGCAAUCAAGAACCUAGCUGUGUCUUCUGUUAAGCUUUCUUAACAAUCUUUAAUCAGAUGUCAGCAAAUGACCCAAACACCCAAAAAAUUUUGGUAAGUGUUUAAGCACUACAGUAAUUUGAUCAUCAUCUAACUGCUAUAUAUAGCAUGAAUCACAAAUUUGAUUAAUUCAUUUUUGUUUGGUUCUAAAUUUGCAAAACAGCAGUCCAACCAAAUGCUGAUAAAACCACACAAAACCAACCAAAACAAGUUGGUUCGGUUUGUUAAUCCAGUUUAGGUCAAAUGGCUCGACGCUCAUCCCCAAUAAUGUGCCUAAAAGAGCAGAUUACAAAAUUUGAAGAAUAAGAGGAUUCUUUCCUAUAAUAUGUAAACAGAGUAGAACAUACUGGAUGAUAGCCGCCGGCAUAUUUAGUAUUGGAGCGAAGGUCAUCAACGUCCAUGCUUUCCAGUGAACCAGAUAUAAGAAGCUACAGAAAACAAAGUGUAAAAGACUUUAUCUUCCCACAUACAAUGUAGUAAAGGCAGUGGAAAAGAAAAAAAUAGCCAGCUAAUUUGCUACUACCCCCCCUUCAAAUAGAUGCACAUUUUUUAAAACAAAGGAUUUGACUCAAGCAGCAUAUUAAGCCAUUGUAGAUAGUUUAGCACAAUAUUCUUCGUCUAUGACAUCUUUAUAAUCUUAACUGUCAAAACUGGGGGGAAAAAAAAGCCGUCUUGAUAACCCAAAAAAAAUUGCACCACACCUUAACAAAACAUCCAACCGACAUUUAGUGGGAUAACACAUUGGCAAAAACACCAGCUCAUUAUCAGAUCCUAAUGAAGGAUGACUAUUCGAUCAAAUUUAUCAUAUACCAACAAACAACUGAAUAGCUUUUAACUGAUCACCGGUGAUGGCAAGUUGAAAUUACCUGAAGUUCAUUCUCAUUGAACAUAUCAAUCCAUUCUUUCUCGAUAAGUUGUUGAAAUCCUCGCAAGAAAUGUAAACUUUGAUGGCGGAUCUAUGAAUCCGAGAAAAGUAAAUAUUACUAAUGUAAUCAAUGUUUAGUAAGUACAUGCCAGAGAGAAACUAUACUAGAUAUGCUUUACCUGAUAGUUCAAACGAUGAUUGGAGAUGAGAUGAAUAAAGGUAAUAACAUUUUCAUUGGUAACACGCAAAUCUCUCCCACCAGGUACUAGUUCCUCUUCUGUUUGUUCUCCAUACUCAUUGUUUACAAUAACAAAAUACAGUUCUAGUUCCGAAAUAUCACCUUGAUAGUGCUGCAUACGUAGUCAAAAAAAAAAUGAAAUGAGUGGAAAAUCAGAAGAUGGCAGAAAUGCUUUUCAAGUUACCGUAUCUGAAGGAAUAAGAAAAAGAAAGCAUUGCAGUAAAUACGUAAUUGUAUAUCUUUAAGAUUUACCCAAUGUAAGCAUCAUUCUUUUUAUUAACAUUUCAACAAAUUUCAUGGUCAAACUAUGGAAUCUUGAUUCCAAAAGUUUGCUCAAUGAAAUCUAGAAGAAAUUUGUUGACAUCAUAAACAAUUCCAUCAAUUAAGUAACGAAGACCAUGUAGAAGACAUUUGCAAAGAUUUAGAAUGAACUUGCAAGAAACAAACAGAGAAAAGCAAGUGCCUUGUUGUAUUGGCAUGCAAGUGGCAUUUCAGUGACAUGAUGGGUUACAAGGUGACUCGUACAGUGACAGCAUGGGAGCAGCACACACCGUGCCCUGGCAUGGUUGGAAAAACGUGCAAUGUCCUUUGGGAUUUUGUAAAGCUUAAGACUAGCCGGUUUCUAAAAGUAAUCAUGUUGGCAGUUGACACAAAUGAGAAGAUAAAAAGCCAUGAAAGUUGUUUCUUUGGCGUCUAUAACUAAUCAUUGUAAUCGCUAAACGAAGCAUGUCAAAACCGAAACAUGCAAUAAGUGACAUAAAUAGCUUCACCGGAAGCCAUCCAUGCCACAUAAUUGCAAUCAUGAUAAACAUUUGAAGACUUCCACAAAUUUAGACAUGUAACUAAACCUAGUAAAAGUAACAACACGAGUAUUUUUUUUGUUUAGAGGAGCAUCUUUUAAUGCACUUCCUUUGGCCAUAUAUGUAGCACAUGCCAAGUCCUUACUGACUUCUAAAAUAUAUAGAUGUCACUAAGCACUAACUGACUCUAAGUAGAUUCGAUCCCGUGAAGAUUACCUUAUAAUCAUUGAAAUAUGAGCUAUUUGUCACCUAUCAGCUAAUCAUCAUAUGAAAUUCUGCAUUUGGCACAUAUAUCAAGAAGAAACAAGAUGAUAAUACAAAAUAACAACUGGAAUCUAGAGCAAGAUAACCUGUUACAGUGUUUUUGACUGUUCCUAACUCAGUAAGACAGAGGUUGCCUCUUUAUUAUGGUUAAAUAAUCAGUCUGAGUGUCAAUUUGAAGCACCUAGUAUGGUAUAAAUACUCAAGCCAACAGAAAUGUAUACAUGUAUGCAUCAAGGUAUAUAAGAAGAUACCAACACAUCAGAAAUUACUAAAAAAUUACAAAAAGUGUAAUAAGGGAAAAUUCUAACCUUCAAAAAUAGCAGAUGCCGAUACAACUCUGGGUCUAACGAAGGCAAGUCAUGCAAAUAGUUGUGUCUGGUUAUCAAGAGAAAAUAUCAUGCAAAGAGAAACAAAGUUAUGCAAGUCAAUUGAAUUAUUUCCUAGUCAUAUAUUUAAGCAAAACGGCAGUCAAACAGCUAGAAAAAUUUUGCAGCAAAUGGGACCUUACUUUUCUUUCAAUUUGCUUAGGAAGAAUGUUGCAAAUGGAAUAUCAACAAGUAUUCCUUCAUACAUUGCCUACAAAAGAUUAUGUAGAUCACAAGUCAAUCCACCAAACAAUAGAUUAUAAUGGCCUCCAAGUGAUAAAACACAAAUUGUUAAGUUAAAAAGUAGAAUGUGGGGACCAAAACAUGCUGUAGAUUAAAGAAACCUAGAAGCAACAAUACAAGCAAUAAAUUCAGCGUAUUCGGAAGUAUGCUUUUCUACCAACCUUGUCCUCGCGUACAUUGAUGCAAACCAACUAUCCAUCAACUCCUUUUCACCCAUAAUAAAAGGCAUUAUGAAUUCAGUUUCAGAGUAAUCAUCCUCACUAUAUUUUUUCCCUCUAAUGCUAGAUAAGGCCAAACUCGACAAUUUUCAAAGCAGGUUAAAGAAUACUUGAAUUGACCAUUUUCUGAAAAGAUCUAAUAAUUAGAAGCUCAAAUUGUAUUGCAAGAACCACUUUGAACCACUCUGGCUAACUCAUCAAUAGAAAUGAGCAGAAAUACAAAAAGCAUCAUUGCUGAGGGCAAUAGUUGAAGGCCUGUCAGCAAUUACUUAUUUAAUAGGACAUUUAGAGAAGCUCCAUAGGAUAUAGAAUUGAUUUUAUUUUCUUGGCUUAUUUGUGCCUAAGAUAUAAAAACAAAUUAACCCUUCUCCGUCAUAGAACUCCAGGCCCAAAGGAGGCGUUGCUUCACUUCAUCAUUCUACCACCAAAAAGGAUCAUAUAUAGUCAUAGGCCCUUCUACCAAAAACGUGCCCAAAAAAGAGUAACAACAAUAACCAGUUGCAAAAAAUACUCACUACACCCAAAAUGUCAUUUCCAUUUUCCACUGAUGUAAAGGUCCUCUGAUCAUAUGUCAUUGACGAUUACAGUUACUGGUUAAUAAGAACAAUGGUAUACUGUAUACACCCACACAAGAUAUUCAGAAACUCCAAUUCAAUUCCUUUACAUCAAACCAUGAGAAUCUAUAUCAACUAAAAGUGAUAAGAACAGUAGCUAUGGCAUGGUUAAGAGCUAAUUAAAAAAGGAAUAGAUUACGAGCUAAUUAGAAGGAAAAGGUUUCCUACAAUGUGAAGUAAAUAUUUUUCGUUGUUUUCUUAUAUACUGUGCAUUUUAACUGUAGCAAAAAUUCUAUAAAAGAGAUGUGCAAAAUCAUCAGUAUUAUCAUCGAAAACAUUUCCCAGAACACUCAAGAUUGGAAUGAUCCAAUGGAAUUCAAUUCUCAUUGUAAACCACAAAAAUCCUCUAAAAAUGGUGAAUUCGGGGAGGGGGAGGGGGGGAGGGGGGUGUGUGUUGUGGGGGGUGGAAUCCUAUAUAAGAGUUGCAGAUAGUCUUGGAAGAGAUUACAUUAACUAUUCUUGAUAUGAGAGAAUUCAAGGGCUAAUGAGGAAGAUAAUUUUGAAGGCAAUGGUUUUGCAUUUUGGUGUCUCCCUACAUAGUUAAGAGAGAAAAAGAAAACAUAAAGUAACUAUUAUUGUGUAGAUUUUAUCGUAUUGUGAUAACUGAUAACCCAGAGCCCACUCACUCAAUUACUUAAACUAACAAACAAAGAGAACUAGAAAAUAAGUACCUUUCCAAGGAGGGUUCCAAGAAAAUGGAAAAGUUGUAGAUGUUGUUCAUGAGUUAAUCCUGAUCCAGGGUUUGGAUACAAAAGAUGAUCGGCUGUUUCCUAUAGAAGCAGCAAAAAUGUGGAAAAGCUACAGAAGUGAGAAUGGCAUUAGGAGGGAAAACAAAAAAGAAAAAUAUCAUUAGUGAAAAUCAAACUGCAACAUAUUGCACUAACUAACAUGAGCAUAUUUAAUAUCAAACAUGAUCUUAAGAUAAGAAAUGAUGAUCGUAGAUCAGAAUAUUAGUUUUAGCAUUUGGUUCGUCACGAAGGAAAACCAGCUUUACUUCUUCACUGUUUAGCUUGUAGGCAAGGAAAUGAAGAACAUAAACUAAUCGAAGAGGUAGGAACCAUAGUUACACUUAUUGGUGUACAUUGAAUUUAUCAAGAAAACGAAAAUAAAUGGUCAAUAUUUCCCAGAAUCUUAACAUGUAGUUUAAGGAAAAAGGUACUCAACUAUGUGCCAUCUUGAAAUAGGCCCCUAAACUUUAACUUUUCUAUUUGACAUCCCCUUGUUUUUUUUUUAAUAUUUGCGUUAUUCUAGUUAGUUAAGAAGGAAAGUUUGUUAAAUUAAUGAUUAUAUUAGCUAUUACUUGUUCCAGUUUUAUCCACUAAAAGGUGAUGAACAUCCCAUAAUAUAGUAGAAUAACUGAUCAAAUUUGAUAAAUCCCCAAUUUACUAGACUAAAAUAGCCCAACUCCGAAAAGAACAAAAGUUACAGGCGUGUCAACAAGAAAACAUAUAGUUGAGGGGCCAUUUCAAAAUGGCAUAUAGUUGAGGAAUUUCCAUACAUUUCACCUUAAAAGAACUUUUAGUUCCGUGCUCUUUGGUAGGCAUUAACACAAAAGCAGAUAAUCACAUUUAGUUUAAGCAACUUUUCAUAUUCUAGGCAGAAAGUAAACUAUAUAACUUGUCUUGAUUAUUAUAUGAAGCUAAACAAAGACAUCGUUUUCUAUAUUCAAGAUAGAAUUACAAACCUUAAAAAGCCCGUACUGUACAUCAAAAGCAGCUUGAAUAAUGUUCUCCAUAAAAUCUUUGAAGAUUCCACCCCCAUCAAUUCCAACCUCCUCUACUCCCAGUUCAUUAACAAAAGAUACACGGAUCUACAGGCAGCAUUGACAUAGCGGAGAAAAAAUAGAAAUUGGAAGCAUUUAACAAAAAUUAACAGAUUGAUAUUGUUGGUUUUUCAAAGAGGCAUAUUGCAUCAUUAGUUCCUAAGCUUUUAGCCAAGUUUCACUUUGGUCCUCAAACUUUUUAAUUCAACAUUGAAUACCCCCAACUUUUGAAAGUGUUCAAUAUAUUCCUCAUCCUCGUUUACUACUGGGGAAGAAAGAGAUAUUAGUGCUUGCACUCAGUGCAUUUGUACAUCUGGAAACCGUGACACCGUGUUUCCAUCAGUCCGCAUCCUAUCUCAUAUCGGAAUCCAUAAUGUUCAUUGAGUUGCAUACUCAUAUAUCGAAGAGUUGGAUCAAAAUAUGAGAUGAACAACUAAAAAGUCGAACUAAAAAGUCCAAAAAACAACAGUUCAAAGACUAGUACUGCAGCUUAUCAGUUCUCCAAAACAUCGUAAACAUAAAUUUAAGUAAAUAACUAAAAAGGGGUGCAAUCAUACUGAUGCUCGAAGAUCUUCCUCUGACAAUCCGCUCAGGGAGUUGAAAGCAUCUUCAACAAUCCGAUUUCUUCUUAUUUUGAAACGGUGCCUUGUUAAUAUGGGAUGGGAUCCAGUUCUUUGUUUAGAAGCAGCCAACUGUGACUAUUCAUAGAAGUACAAAAUUACAAUAAAAGGAAUGCUAAAAACUUAUACAACUUCAGAGAUUGAGAAAUGACAGUCUAUUUAUGGUUGUCAGAUCCUGAUGGUCUUACUUAUUAAUAAAAUUUGUCUAUCAUAAUAUAUAAUGAAGAAAUCAACAAGUUACAUCUAAUCUAUUAUGAUGAAGGUAGAAGAUGGUAUGCUUACAGUGAAUAUUCUGACUCUGCUAGUAAACGGCACAAGAAAGGGAGCGAGUUUUAAUAUAUCAGAUGCCCGAGUGUUUCCAAGUAUUGCCUACAAGGGAGGAGAAAGAAAAACAUUACUGUAAAGACCUUAGAAGACAGAGACAAAGGGAAAAUAGUACUGGAAUUUACUACCUGUGAGAUGAAGUUUUCAUUCGUUGCUUCUUGAGAAUAGAAGUCACUGGCGGAUGUGAAUGACCUUCUGUUGUUCCAGUCUUGCAACUGCAUGAUAUGUAUACCGUUAUAACAAAUAUAAUCAAAAUAAUAUUUUCACUAUUAUAAUACAUGCAAUCCUAGGCAAAUAGAAACAAAAGCUGCCAUGUAGUGUUCUUCAUUGAGUCAAAACCUGCCACUUAGUAUUCUUUAUUAGCAACACUCUGAAACAGUGUAAAAAGACAAGGUACUAGGUGAAACCAGUGGUUUUAUGUUUGACUACAAAAAUUUUACAUAAAACAAACAGCGUUGGAAUUUUACCAAUGGAGCAACUAUUGAAGUAUUAGCAUGUGAAUAGGACAUCAGAUCAAAUGGAUAAGCUCCCAUUCUGGCCCAAGUGCUCAACCAAAGGCGAACAAUUCUAUUUGUUAUAUAAUUUCACUCUGGGUUAUGAAGAUCAGUAUAAUAGCCCAUCUAACAGCGAUUACAAAGAAUUGUAUACAUCAAACUAAUCUAGAUGCUAUUCAGUCUUCAGAAUCAAAAGAAGAUAUUACUCUGGCCCCAAAGCUUAAUAUGCUCUUGGUUGGAAUAUGUAAAUCAAUGAGAAAAUAAAUAACAAUCUUUAGGUAGUUCAUCUUCUCCGGACACUAUCUAACUACCUACGAAACCAAAAAAAGGACAUUGUAAAUUCACAUCAACCUUCUUCAUAAUCCCAUAACAGAAUCAUUUAACUUCAAUCGUCGGUAACCUAAAGAAGUAAAACCAAAUUGACGAGGGAUAUCUUGUCUAAUACUCAAAAUCAUGGAAACUGCAUUGCCACCAAAAGCCACAAAACACACAAACAGUAAGAGGAAAAGGAAAAAAAGCAACAGAAAAGAUCCAAGUACCUGUGCCAGAAGUUCAGACAUAACAAUCCUAGCUCUGCUUUUGAUAUUUUCCACCGAAAGUUUCUUAAUCCUCGAAGGGAUGGUCGAUGCUUUCUGAGUCGAAGGGUUAUGUGCAGGAAUUGUCCAUAGAAGUUGCCAUAGGGCCUACACGAAAGUCAUGUCAAUACACACAAAAGAACAAAAGGCGCAAUACAUUCCUAUAAUGCAAAAGAACUUCAGAAAGAAAUCUCAGAAAAAGAAAUCAAACAUACAAGACACCAAAAUUGCAAAAUCACCAAUACCUGCUUUAGAAUGAUAACUAAGGACCUAAUAUCAUUUAAUGAAAGUGGUUUCUCCUGCUCAUAGAACUCUUCAUUAUCAACAAUCAUCAAGAUAUGCCUGGCAAAUGAUGGAAAAUCAUGUUAAAAUUUGAAGAUGAUCAAAGAAAAAUAAUAUAACAUAUCUCAUUAAACUUACAGCAUAAGUAAAUACAAAAGAAAAAUCGAAGUUUCACUAUAUUUAAGAGAGAGAAGAAUACUUAGCAAUAUAGAAUCAAAAUAGAAUAUGCAGUCUUACUUAUAUACAGGAGAAAAGACAGACAGAGGCAACAGCCAAUUUGGAGCAUCGCUGGGUAAAUUCGUCAUGAGCUUGGAACAGAAUGGCCAUCUUUGAUUCUCAUGGCAUUUCUUAAUGAAAUUCCAAAGGGCGGGAACAAGCUCAGUCCGGUAAGCUAGUCCAGUCAUGAUGAGCUCGGGAGGCAAUGUACUGAAUACCACGUGUAGGAAAGUGCAAAUUGAUCCUACAGCUUCCACCUCUUCAUCAGACGGUCCACUAUAGCUAGUGGAUAAUGUGCCUUGAAAUAGAAGAUUCACCUGCUCCACAAGCAAAUCUCAGCUCAUGAAAAAUGCGAUCACCCACCAGUUCAUGCGAAAAAAAGAAACUUUGGUAGGUAUAGGGCAAUCAGAGGACUGGUCAUUACGUACCAAAUGUUGCAAAAGACGCGAGUCUAUUGCAUUGCAUAUCUGCCUUUCUAAGUCGACAGCAAGAGAGCUUUUAACCCCCUCGUCCAUGAAUUCAUCAUCCUCAGCUGGGUCUGGAAAGAUCCAUGAAAGUUAAGAUGUAAAUUAGUCUUAAGAGACAACCUUUACAAGGGCUGAAGACAAAAAUAAUAGACGUACAAGUUUUAACGGGCAGCAAAAAAGGUUUAGAUAUAAGUAUAUAGUAUACAAGAAUCAAGCACACCAUAUCUAAUUACUACUUCUAUAAUAAACAUUAAAAACUAUGCAUUCUAAAUACCUACAUGUAUACGUAUUAUAUUGCCAGAUGGUCACCCAAAUUUGGCUCAAAAUAACUUGUAAAAGACAUUAUGAACAAGUUCAAAAACCUAAUGGGCCUAGAUCCACAACCUAUGUACUGUCCGAGGCUACUAACUAUCGGCCUAGUCUAGCCUACUUACAACCUAACCACUAAAUUUUUGUACUUCUUCCAGUCCAUUUCCCAUAAAAGCGCAUGCUCAAAGUUCAACCAGAUUAAAGAUGAAAUAAAACAAACAAAAUAUACGAAGGUUGAAACAAAAGCAAAUAAAGCAAUUCACAAGGCCAAAACAAGAUAUAACAAGUGGCUGGAUGGCACGUUUGGUUCAAAAUAGGAAACGGACUCAUAAUGGGAAUGGGAAUGGGAAUGGACCGGAAUCGAAAAUGGAAUGAUAAAAUCCCCUAUUAAAACAAGAGGAAUUAGAAUUGGAAAAUCAUGUUCAAAUUGAAAUUCAAAAAAAGUAAAAUUUAAUUAAAAUUUAAAUUAAAUUUACUAUCCAAAUUUGUAAUCAAAAUUUGAAUCCAUCUUUGAACUUAAUUUGAAUUUACUAUUCAAAUUCAGAUUCAAAGUCAAAAUUUAAAUUAAGAACCAAAUUCAAAUAUCAAACGUAUAUUAGGAUUUAAAUUUUAACCUAAGAAAUUAAAAAUUUAAAUUUAAAUCCAUAAUUCAAAUUCAAAUUUAAAAUUAUAAUUUAUUCUAAAAUUAAAUAUAUAUUAAUAUUUGGAUUUAAAUAACUGUUAGUGAAAAAAAGUAGUUCUUUUCUUAAUUCCUUCCGAAAUCAAAGUUGAUUCCCACCUCCAUGGUGGGAAUCGUUUUGGAGGGAUUUGAUUCCCCCCGGAAUGGGAAUUGGUAUGCCAAUCCCCCAAACCAAAUACCAACAAUUGAAACGGAUCAUUACGAUUCCCAUUCCAAGCCUCAAUUUCUUCAAACCAAACAUGCCUUUAGCUUCUUUUGUUCUCGAAAAUGAAAUGUCAAGUAAGCAAUUCAUGUUAGUUAAUCCUGUGGGCAGCAGUAAACUAACUACUAUUAUCCAUGGACAAGUAUGUGGCAAACCCUAUGACUCCAUCUUUAUAUAGUUGUGCACGCCACUUGUUUAAUUUAUUAGGGUCAUCAGCACCGUCCAUGAUAACAAGUUGAACUUAUUUUUUCAUGCAUGCCUCAACUUUACUCCAGUGCAUCUUAUAGAAGGGUGAACUGCAUGAGAAAAUUAACCGACUAUAUAUUGUUUCGCAUGGAUGUACAAGGAAUAGUAAAAUUAAGCAAAUUCUCAUAUUGCGUAGGGAAGAAGAAUGUAGUGAUAGGAACAGCAAUUUUAUAGGAAAUCUUAAAGUCUGUGCUGACAAAAACCUAUAUAUUAAGUACACAAGAUUCGCAAAAUAGAAAUUUUCGACUCAAAUCAACCUAAGUCCUACACAGAGUGAGAUCAGAAAUAUGAAUCUUCAAAAAAAAAAAGUGCUUUAUCUUACAUUGUUUUGCUGAUGAUGUCACUGUUGGCAAUGUGUCCAACAAGAAUGUCGAAACAGUAAUAAAGUCUAGAGCCUGUUUCAUACCAAAGAAGAGAUUUCUUAACCAAGUUAUAUAGCAUAUUGGAAAAGAUAGUGUUGCAUACUUGGAGCACAAAACACUACAUUCAGACUAAGGAAACUUAAUAAUCAACUGAACAAUAAACACUUUUCCCCCCAGUGAUCAAUGUCCAAAGUCCAAAGUUAAAAUAAAAGUAACAAAAAGCUUCAUAUUCACAUUUCUGAUAGUUAUAGAAAAAAACAUUGAACCUAUAAAGAGGAUAAAAGUUGAGCUUAAGAAAGAUUAUUAGGUAUAGUUCAUAGUGCGCACGAAAUUAGCAAAUUGAUUUGAACUACGUGGACAUGGGGUAUCAUCAUCACUUUCUACUUAUAGAUAAUCUUGUUUCAUCAACAGAUGUCUAAAUGGCCCAUUAAGGAGAAGACCUGCCUACAUGAUUAUUUUCCAAAAUGCCUAAGUUACAACGUAAUAGAUUUGAAGUGGCCAUUCUUUGUAACAUUAUCUAUACAUUCUGACUUAAAAGACAAAGCGGACAUAUACUGGUAAAGAUUUAUAUAGCAAAUGAUGCAUUACACACUAUGUGAAACACUUGUUAUUCUUUACGAUACAUUGAAAAUACACAUCAGCUCAACAUAACUUUUGAUAUAACAUAAUAAGCAUAACGAGGGGCAAACAACUCAAAUUCACUUGCCUUCAAUGGAACUGCUAAAAUUGAAAAAAAAAUAAUAAUAAUAAAAAAACACUUACUGUAUCAGAAGCAAGUUUUGGAUCAGACAAAACAAAAGCGGCAGCUUCAAGUAAAUUUCCAAGUAUGCAGGCAUAGCCUGGAUAUUCCGGCGAUACAUCACUGGGAAGGACAUUGUGAUUACUUGGCAAACAUAAUGCCGUCUGAUGAACAUAAUGUUUGCCAAGUCCCUUUACUGAGAAAAUCUGAAAUGACACAAAAAAAAAAAUUCCAAGUGAAAACUAUUAAUUACUGUACUGUGCAGCAAAUAGCCAGAUAAACUAGAAAACAAUUCAACAAACAAAGCUGACAAACAAAAGAACAAGCUCAACUUCCUCAAUUACAUCUUAAAUGCCAUAACAAAUAUGCUCUCUCCUUUUGCUUCUAAAAUGUGCUUCGUUGAACAAAUUACUUAGCAAAAUUACUCCCAAAACAGAUUCAGGUCCAAACUGGUUCUUUGGUAUCUAGGAAAUCCAAUUCGUACACUCAACAGUGUAAUUUCGUAAAAAAAUUCCAAAAGCAUUGCAAUUAAGAAGAAGAAAAUAACCUCCUUGAAGUAUGGCAGGUGAUGCCACAUAAAAGGAAUGGAAAGAAAUUGUGAGAAGAAACUCCACUUGGGAUCUACUGUUGAACAAUAACUUGGCUGGUGACUAAUAUGUGAAGCAACAAGGGCUACAACAUGCUCCAAGGAAGAUAAGCUACCAUCAGGCUCCGGAGCACUCACAUUUUUCUGUGCCACAGUCACUUCCAUCAAUAAGUAACAUGUUUAUGAGAAUGAAAGACAAAAAAAAUGCCUUGUUUGGUUACAGUUGCGGGUUUUUUUUUUGCUUUUUCUUUUUCUUUUUUCAAGCUUAAAUUCUAUGCAAUGGAGUGCACGGGAAAAGGAUGAAUUAUAUACAAUCUGUACAUCAUGGGGUUUGUUCAGAAAGAAAAAGAAGAGAACUUUGCAAGUUGUAAACAACGAUAAUUAAGAACACAAAAUUGUACCCACAUAUGCACUCCAUCACACGAAGUUUUAUUUUAAAAAACAAAAAAGAACUUCAACCGAACAUAGUGAAGGAAAUAAUGUUUUGCCAAGUGGAACAACAUUUAAAAUGGAGUGCUUACCAAGCCAGCAAGAACUAUGCCACGUAACAAAGAAAAAACAUUUUUUUGCUGCAGAUAACCCACAACUUCACAGACCCACGGAAGUUCAGGAUUUAUUAAGCAUGCCAAAGUUUCUAGUAGAAUGACUGCAGGCAUACUGGAAUUCUUGGAUGGCAUCAAAAGUUGAUUCUUCCACUGAUUCCUAUUCAAAUAAAAAUAAGGAAUGAAAUCAGUGCCAUAGCAUAUAAUUGAUAUCUCGUUUACAUUUAACAAAUUUAAUCAGCAUGAAAAUUAGAUAAUUGGAUUCAGGAAAACUAUAAGAUGCCAACCACAAUGAAAUUUUAACUAUCCUAUUAAGCAGCAUCAAUAAACAAAGCUGAGAUUCUAAAAUUAAGCAACGCCACAACUCUUAAUUCAGGAUCACAAAGCCAGCACAUAGGAUUGGAUGGUGAAAGAAAAUUCAAUACGUGGAUCACAGUUUUUUCAAAUGAGACACAUAUACAUAACGACCGACAAGGCACAAGGUUAAGGCUGAGUUCAGUAGAUUACAUCUGGAACAAGAUUCAGUGCUGAAGAAGAAAAAGUACACAAUACAUAUUAAAAGAAAAUCUCAAAACUAAGAGAGUUAUUUCGGUAUAUCAUUUUUCGUUUGAGAAGGACAGGCAUAACUGUCACAUUACAAAUAGUAAGGGACAUUUCAAAAUAUCAGAUAGGAACCACAUCACUGACCUAUUCUGAUAGACUGCUUGUACACAAAUAUAUGCAAGUUUUUUUAUCCUAUGCUCUACAAAAGAUCUUUUCAAGGAGUAAUCUUCACCAGCAAAAAGGCUUACAAUAUCUCCUGCAACAAAUAAACUAUAUCAGUAAAUAUGAACUGCAUAUACAAAAAUUAGAAACCGAAUGCAUGAUGAUUAAUUGCCCCAAGAGGCCAAGACGCAUCACAAUGAAAGUAGGUUAAAAGCCAGAAAGUUUCGGCCAUUCACAUGGUUUUACCAUAUACCAGAUGAGAAAUACAACGCAAAUAACAUCAGCAAGCACAAUAAUAGCAAUGCAAUCGUCAAAUGUCAGAACAAAGAAUAGAAUCCAAUCAGAAAAAAAAAAAUCACAAUAGCAACUGGAAACUUGUCGACAUAACAAAAAUGUCAUAGUGGCUAAAUUUCUCAUAUAACAGGCAUAGGGAUCACUAACUAUCAAACCGUUUGUCCAUUGAAUAAUUAACAUAAAUAUGGUUUAGUAUGAUAACUAUUCAUAAAUGUUAGAAUUUAACUGCACAAAUUCCUCAUCAUCGUUAGUGAUCCCCACAUUGUCCACUUCCGAUAUCUUGAAUAAAAUAAAAUAGACAUACAAGCAUAAAUAAUAUUUGAAAAACAAUAGGUCAACAAAUGUGAAUAUAAGUACUUGUUCCACCUAAGAAUCAAAAUUUGCAUUAAUGGUCAAGAAUUAGAUAUAUUCUACACUUCUGAUCGGAAUCUCUAGAAGGGGGGAGAAAAAACUCAAAAUUAAGAAAAGAAAUCCUUCCAAUCUAAUGAAAUCGUAACAUAAAUUCUCAAAUUCUUUAAACAAUAAUGAAAGUUAGGAGAUGCCAAAGAGAGGAAUGAAAAAUCUAAAUAUUGCCGAAUUUGUCGGAAGAUGAAUUGUAAUGAGAAUUAGUGAGAACACAAUUGUCUACAUAGGAACGUGAAUGAGAUCCAAUGAAAGAACUAAUAGACAAAAUACUGUUCAACUUACCAUUAUGCCAAACAUACUGUAAAAGCAAUUUGCAUGCCUCUAAAAGGAUAGAAACAUCAUUGCCGUUCUUCCCAUUAAAGAAGAAGAGCAAUUGGCGAAGAAACUCUGAAUUGGGGCGAAAGCAAUUCCUGAUUUAGACAACAACCUCUUAGAUAAAUAGGCAGAAUAAGCUAUAAAGAUUAAAGUGCAAGGAAGCCUUACAAAUCUACUCGUUGGCACUGAUCCCCAAAAGUAAGAAAAAACUGCUGCCGCACAUUAAAUCGUGCUAUUUCAACAACCUUCCUCCCUCUGAAGCAUUUCUGCAGCUUAUAGCUGGUUAGGUCUGGUUAUCAAAAUCAUAAGGAAACAAAUGGUAAUAUGCAACUGAUUUCCAAUUCUUAGUUACAGUCCUUCAUACAACCACAAGGUACGAAUAGACUCAAAUGCAGUCCUUUAUUCAUAAAAUUUCCAACAGAAACACCAAUCAUCGCAUCUAAAGAUAUCAAAAAACGUCUAUUUAUAACUUGAUUCACUAAGCAGGAUUUAAUUUGAGUUUGCCAAGACCAUAAUUACAUCAUGCAGUAGUAGUUAUUAGUGGAUAAAUAAACUUAUUCACCAAGUUGGAUUUGCAAAUGGGUUAUUUUCAACUGAACCUAAUAGAACCCUUCGUCAUUACAACUCAACUAUCUGCAUUCAACUACCGCUAACUAAUCAGCAAUUCGCACUGCUCCAAAUAGAAAAACACUACUAAAAUAGCAAAUUGCAGCUAUCAAGUCUUAGAAUCUAGUGUUCCAUUCCCAUUCCCAAUCGAACUCGAAUAUCAACACUACAAACUAAUUACAAAUUCACACAUUUCCAAAUCGAAUAAUGCUCCUAAAUUAGCAGCUUGCAGCUAAGAAGUCUUAGAAUUCUGAAGUGCCAUUCUCAUUCCCAAUCAAACUCAAAGAUCAACACUGUAAACACCAAUUCGCACAUUUCCAAAUUGAAGAAUGCCUACUAAAUCAGCAAAUUGCAGGUAUCAAAUCUUAAAAUCUAGGAAGACUUAGAAUCUAGGGUUCCACUCCGAUGCCCAAUCAAACUCAAAGAUUCACACCAAAUCACACAUAAUCAUAAGAAACACCAACACAGACCGACCUGAAUCUUAAUGGCGGCCGAGGUCUGCUGCUUGAGCCCCAGCCGCCGCUGCUCCAGCAGCAUCUGCCGGUCCCGCUCCUUCGAGCUCCGGCCGCCGAGGUCCACGCGCCGCCGCGCCGACGCGUCGCCAUUGAAGAACAUCCCCUUCACCCACCAAAACCCCACACCACACCGAACCCCGAUCAAAAACACACCCAAAAAAAUCGACAAAAGAUCGAAGAAGAGGACCAGCGAGAGCAAACUCACCUCGGAUUCGGGAGGAGAUCGGGGGCUCUUCUUUUGAUCGAAGUGGAGAUCGCUCGCUCGAUCGAGAGAGAGGGAGAGGGAGAGCGCGAGUCGAUGGUGCGAUGGUCGACGGGGGAGGGUUUUGAUGGGAAAAUUAAAAAAAAAAGCUCAAAGAAAAAGAAAAAGAAAAAGAAAAAGUUGGGGAGAGGUUCGGUUUACAUAACGUAGAUACGGAAUGAAUAAAUAAAUAAAAUAAAAUAAUAAAUAAUAAAUAAUAAAUAGAAAUAAGUGCGUAGGGGCUUACCGCUUACGGCUGAUACCCGACACGCACUUCCAUAGGAAGUUUUUUUUUUUUCUCAUGAUUUCAUAUAAUUCUAUAAUAAUAAUAAUAAAAUAAUAAUAAUAAUGAAAUAAUGAGUCCGACUGGGAUACUAUCGAUAGCAUCAAAGAUUUGGUACUAUCGAAUUUUUCAUUGUUAAAUUUAACUUUUGAUUAAUUUUUUCCGUUAAAUUAUACUAUUCAACCAACCACUCAUUCAACCCUAGGGGGACCACAUCAUCUUAACCACACAUUUUUCAAUCCAAGGGGUAACAAACUAAUAGCACCAACAGCUUGAUGCUAUUGAUAGUAUUCCAGCCUAGUCCAUAAUAAUAAUAAUAAAAAAAUAAUAAUUAGGGAUAUAAAUGGGUACGUGCAUUCAAAAUUUAACGCAAAUUGAAAUCCGAAAAGAGUGAAUUUAUUCAAUACUAGGGCGUGUUUGGUUGACUUCUUUUUCACCCUAAAAUCGGAAUCAAAAUGGACGAUCAGUUUGUUGGUGUUUGGUACGUAGAAAUUCCAUUCCAAUUUCGAUUUUCGAGUGGAAUGAGAAUCCUCUCAUCACCUCUUUUUCCAAUCCGGCCUAGUAGGUCGGAUUGAAAGUUAAAUUCGGACGAAAUAGAUAUUUAUUCGAAUUAAAUUUAUUUUUUCAACUUUUUUUAUUAAAAUAUGAGUUUAAAUUUUGAAAUUAAAUAUAUAAUUUUAAAUUUUAAUUUGAACUUGAAUUAAAAAUUAAAAUUUAAUCAAGUAUUUCGAAUCUAACUUAUGAAUUUGAAUUUAAAUUAAAUUUUAAUUUAUAUAAAAGUUUAUUCAAAUUUUAUUUAAAACUUAAAUUAAAUUUAUGAAUUCAAAUUAAAAUUUAAAUUGUAAAUUUAAGUUUGAAUUUGAAUAAAUCAAAAUUUAGUUUCAUAUUUUGAAUUAUCCACUCAACUUCAAAGUUUAUUUUUUUUUAAAAAAAAAUAGAUUUAAAAUUUUAAAAUUAUUUCAAAAUUUUGAUGUGAAUUUUUUAUAUUUAAUUUUCAAUUUAAAUUUAAAUUAAUAUAUUAUAAAGAUAAAGUUAGUAUAUUAAUUUGAUUACGUUUUUUAUAUCCACCUGAACCAAACACCGAUAAUGUAAAUGAUUUAUUCCGAUUCCGAUUCAGGUGAUGAACCAAACAGAAUUAGGUAAUGAGUCAUUCCAAUUUCGAUUCCAGCUUAUUUUGAUUUCGAUUUCAAUUCCAAUUCUGAUUCCGACUUCGAACCGAACACUCCCUAAAUGGAUAUAGUUUCGGAUAUGGAUAAAAAAAAUUUUGACAGAUUUGAAUUCGAAUAUGAAUUUGUUCGUAUUUGAUCCGAAUCCGAAUUAAUUUGACAUUAUAUAUAUAUUUGAUGUUAUAUUUAAAAUUAUAUUUUAAAAAUUAUAUUUCAUAUAACAUAUUUUGAAAUAUGGUAUAGAGAAAUAAUUAUUUCGAAUUCAGGUCAUAGGUUUGUAGUCGGUUGUUUGAAAAACCACCCCAAAUCUAAAUCUUUGACAUCUCUAAUAAUAAUACAUAAAAAAUAGAGGUUUUUGCUCGCUACAUUUUUACUAUUAUUUUAAAAUUUUAAUUUAUUCUGAAAUUGUUAAAUAUUUUACUAUAGUUCAAUCCCACGAGUAAACUAGAAAAUUUAAGAUAUUUGAAGAAAUUUUUUAAAAAGAAUAUUUUGGUCCUUCAAAGAUAAAUAAAAUAUUUUUAAAAGUUUGAUUCCGUUUUCAACUUAUUCUCAUUUCGAUUCUGACUUCGAACCAAACACACCCUACAUGUGAAAAAUAUAAAUAUUUAUGAUGAGAUGAUAGGUGGCGGGUAUUACACAUGAUAAAGAAAAUAUUUAAAAAAUGCAUGGGUGGAGGAUAUUAUGUGGGAGAAAAUGCGAGGGUAUAUUGUCACUUUUCUUAGAUAAGAAAAUAAUUUCUUUUUUUCUCUAAUAGAUAACCUUAGAAAUAUUUGAUAUAUUUUCAUUUUAGGUGAAUAUUUUUGGAAUAUCGCAAUUUUAUCUUCUAAAAUUUGUUUGUUAUAUUUACUUUUUAUUGAUUGCAUUUGAAUUUAAUUUCAAAUAUAUAUUUAUUUUUUAAUCUUUAUUUGAUUUAAAAUUUUCAUUUUAUCUUAAAUUCAGAGUUAAAAUUAACUAUACAUUAAAUUUUUUUGUAUGUCAUUUGAAUUUUGACGAACUCAAAUUUUAAGCAUGUAUUUUAAAAUAAGUAUCGAAUUUUUAAUAUACCUUUAAUCCAAAAUUUAAAAUUUAAUUAUGAUCUACUUUAAUUAAAUUUUUUUAAUUAUUAAUUCAAAUUUGAUAUCCAAAAUUAAAUUAAUUCACAAUUUAAACUCAAAUUUUACAAAAUAAAUAAAACUAUAUAAUUAUUAUUGUCAAUAAUUAUUUAAAUUUGAAUUAGAAUAUGGCAGAUAUUUUCUAAUAGAAUAUAGUAGAUGAAUUUAUUGUUUUAAAUUUAAAUUUCUACUGCAAACUUUUGAAUUAAUAUUAUGCACAAAUUUAUAUUAAUUUAAAAUAGUUAUUAAAAUAAUUAUUACGUAUAUUUGCAUGUACGCUUAACUAGUAAUAUGUAAAAAGUAAACUUUAUUGCAAUAUUAUUUUUAUGAGAAAUACUUAGCCUAUAAUCCAAAAGAGUUAUAUAAUCUCUACCACCUCUCAUUUAGGAACGCAAAGGAAUCUAGGGUGGUGAGCUUCUGCUCCGAUCUGCCACGAAUGGGGUCGAUUUCUCGAUAGUAAUUACAAGACGAAUUAGGCUACUAUACUAUCUAUAAUACCGGAGCUCUGAUACUGUAGUCUUGUUUUCGAUCUUACGGUGUUCAAAUUAACGAUCCACACCGUUAAAUAUGAUCUAGCUAGGGUAUAUGAAGUUCUUAGGAAUAAAAUUUUAAUUUUUUCCGACAUCGUUUACUUAGUAAAUAAAUUAUGUCAAAAUGGACGGUAGAAAUUGAAUAAUCUUUAAAAUUUGAGUAUAGAAUUUUUAAAUUCAAGAUCAAGAAUGUUAACGUUAAUCUAGAUAGUUUAAAAUAUUUUCUAUCAAAAUUUGAAGAAAUUUAGAUUCUUCUAUACCGUUAAACUCCAAACUCGUCAUAAUAGCCAUUGAAAAUUGACAAUUUUGAAAUAGUUUGAUCAAAAAGUAAACUAUAUCGAAAAAAUAUAAAAUUUUAUUUCUAAAAAUUUCAAAUACCCUAAAUCAGUUUUAACGGUGUGGAUCGUUGAUUUGAACAUCCUAAGAUCGAAAACGAGACUAUAGUACUGAAGCCCCGGUACUAUAGAUAGUAUAGGAGAUUAGCUCUUGCAAGACAGAUUUUAUGAUUCGAUGAGGAUUUGGGGAUGAAGGAGGGGAAAAAAAAAAUGAUCCGCCUUGAAUCCACCAUGUCAGAAAUCCAUUUUAUGUCUUUUAGGGCAUAUUUGGUUCACCUAUUUUAGACUAUGGAAUCCGAAUGAAAUUUAUUGAUUCCGAUAAUUGUCGUUUGUUUUAUAGGAAUCGGAUUCCGGUUCCCAUUCAAAAUUCUCUUUUACUAAUACCUACCUCAUCUCCCUUCAUCACUUUCCUUUCUCGUAAUCAAAAUCCUCUCUCAAAAAUUCUAAAUUUCCAUUCCAAUUGUCAUUCCAAUAAUGAACCAAAUAUUUUUGGAUGAUUCAUCGUUCCAUUUUGCAUUCCUAUUCCAAUCAUGAACCAAACAUGCUCUUAAAAUACUACUAAAUAGUUAUAUUUUAGUUGGGCAAUAACGCUUUUUGUUUUGCUGUUAGGUUUCUAAUUUUUAUAUUUUCUUGCUAUUAUGUUCUAACUAUCAAAAUUUUAUUUAUUUCCAAGGAAUGCACCAUAUCAAUUCCAAUAAAAAUACUCUCUACUCAUAAAGAUCACAAUUAUGAUAUGGUACUUCUUAAUCAAGAGUGGCGAGUUUGGGCUUAACACAAUGGGCGUGUAGGUGGAAGAAGAGGUAUGGGUGGUAAAGGUUUAGGACCGAUGGCGGAACUAAUUAUAAAAAUUAAGAAUCUAAUUGUAAAAAACAAAGAAAAAAAAAAAGAUUGGGAACCAAAAUUAAAAAUUAUAGAAUCAUGUAAAGCUUGGAGACAUGGCACUACAACAAAAAUCGUAUAUAGCAAUACUUUUAAAUAUCGGUACAGGUCAAAAAAUAUGCUGCUAGCUAAAUUACCAACACUUUUAAAAAGUGUUGCUAUAUGUGGGGUUGCUAGGUAUAUAGUGACAGUUUAAGAGUAUCAGUAUAACCUAAAAAAAUACAGCUAAUUUAUAAACACUUAUUUAAGCAUUUAGCAACCGCCGGAAUCCUACCUUGUUGGCUGCGACGCGGAGGAAGAGGAGAGCGAGGGGCUCUUCGUCUAGGGUUUCAAUGGAUUGAGUGAGGGGAGAAGGAGUGGAUGGUGAUUGAUUUUUCUUUUUCUGUUUAUAAUCGGGCCGAAUAGGCUGGAUCGGAUGGGUUGAGUAGAGUAACCUUUUUUUUUUUUUUGUUGGAUUCUUUAUAUUUAUGCCUUAGCAGAAUUUUUUUAAAAUUUUGGCAUAAAUAGGACACUUGCACAAAAGUGUUCCAAAAAUGUGUCGCUAUAAUCUAANUGGCUGCGACGCGGAGGAAGAGGAGAGCGAGGGGCUCUUCGUCUAGGGUUUCAAUGGAUUGAGUGAGGGGAGAAGGAGUGGAUGGUGAUUGAUUUUUCCUUUUCUAUUUGUAAUUGGGCCGAGUAGGCUGGGUGGGGUUGGUUGAGUAGAGUAACUUUUUAUUUUUUGUUGGAUUAGGCUUUAUAUUUAUGCCUUAGCAGAAUUUUUUUAAAAUUUUGGCAUAAAUAGGACACUUGCACAAAAGUGUUCCAAAAAUGUGUCGCUAUAAUCUAAUUCUGUUGUAGUAUGGUACAAUUAACCUUUUUAAUUGUUGUCAUUUGUCAUGAGUGUGUAAUUUUUUUGUUUUAGGUGUUUCAUUUGUAGGCCUGACCAAAUCAAGCCCAACUCAUUUCAGCCGGCCCGAUUCUUUGCAUUGUCUUUUACAAACCAUAAACGGAGGUUCGAACUUUUGACUUUUUGCAGUAAAAAUAAAUUUUUUUACUACAACCUUUUUUAAUACCUUCAAGUAUAUCAAUGAGCUCGCAGAUAUGUAUCAUUUUUCUCAUGUUGAUCUCGUGAUGAGAAUCAUAAGAAAAUUGCAUCUCCACUAAUAAAACUUUCAACUGAACGGUCCCUAAUAAAUUAAUUUCUUUUAUCUUUUUUUUUCUUUUAGAAUAUCAUUAUACAGGUACCAACCAACGACCUAAGUUCUAGUCCGAAAUUUAAUGUUGCUCAUCGUUAUAUUUUUGUGGUAUAUUUGACGGAGAAGAAUAAGCAAAUGUAUGCUGCUCACGCCACUAAGAAGGUUAAAGAAGAUGAAAUGCAACAUUAAUUCAAAUUUAUGUCUGUUUAUGACUUAAGGCUUAUGAGUACAACAAUAAUUCAAAUUUUGGUUUGGUUUAAUAAUUUAGCUUUUCUCCUUUUUCUUUCUUUUUUUUUUUUAGCCCACAAAAGAUGAGUUAGUUAUAAUUUUUAUGUCCCUACAUGUAAAAUAGAAUUUAAAUGAAAAGUUAAACAUUUUAAUUCCAUUUCCUUUUAAAUAAAACUAAAGAUAUAAUUUGAUGCAAUCAACUUGAACCUUUUUUUUUUCCUUAUUUCUUAAGAGGAAAUGCUCAAAUGCUCAUUGGCUUUAAUUAAUAUGUAGAGCUUGAUUAUAAUAUAAAUAGUUACUUAAAAUAAACAAUAUAUAAAGGGGUGUCCUCUAACCUAAAUAAACAAAGAAGAGAGAUAAUCGUGUACUUAAGAAUUGUUUAGUUGGAUGUAGUUAAAAUAUAGUAUAGUUGAAGAUGUAUGUAGUUAAAGAUACAACAAUUACACUUACAUAUAUCUCAUUUAGUUUGAUGGAGUAGAAAACACUGCAACUAUAUAUAAAUAAAUUGCAUCUAGUUAAAAAGUAUAUUUGUAAAAUUUUAUCUCCUUUUAUAUAUGUGGUGAUGCGAUUACAAAAGAAAAUUAUUUUAUGUAUAAAAAUAAUUAGAAAGAUAAGGUUAUCUUUUGUUUAAAAUUACUCUCUUUAACUGCUACAGUUAGACCUUCUUAUGUAGUUUCAACUACAGUACGUGAAUUCCAACACAUCAAACGAAACUCUGAAUUUAAAUUUACAUGUAGUUAUAACUGCAAUGCAAUUACAACUAUAUGCAACCAAAUAACUCCUUAGCACGAUUGGUUAAGAGCUUAAUAGUUGAUACCCAACAUCCUAAAUUUAGAGCCUAGCUUAGUGCUUUAUAUUUCUAGCUGAGUUCAUUUCCAAGCAAUAAUAUUUCUUAAAAAAUAUUUUUGAUGAGAUGGGUGAAUCGGAGGGGCAAAUUUGAUUGUUUGGAGACACAGAUGAUGUGGUACCAUCGCCAUAUUUUAAAAUUUUUCCUCUUAUACACAAACUAAAUUAAAUCAAGCUUAUAGACAAAUCAAAUAUGGAAAAAAAAUAUAUUAAAAUUCUCUUUUCAUUUCCCAGCAUCAAAGCUUCAACCUCAACCUGGCCUGAACUUGUGAUUAGAAUACAUGGUUGUGAGAAAUUUUACACAACCAUGUAUUUUUGCUGUUAAUUAAAAAAAGAAAAGAAAAAGUAAAGCAAAAUAACUUUUUUUUGGUCAAAGAAGCAUCAACAAGGAAUUGUAUUCUCUUUAAUAAGAAAAAGAAAGUGGGACUAAUUAAUGGAUGAGUCAUGGUGCACAAAAACAUCCAUCUAAUUUUUGACGAAAUUUUCCUUUUUUUUUUUUUUUGGUUUACCAUCUUUCUAUUCUUUUACUUUUCCACCAAAAGUUAGAAAAAAUAGGAAUGUAAAAUAUAUGUAUCUAUAAAAUUAAAAUAUUAUAAAUUAGAUAUUAUCCCUUAUAUACAUAUUUAUUUUUUUACAUUGUGUUUGGCUCGGGUAUAAAGGGGAAUAAGGGGGAUAUCCCCUCUUUAUACCCAAACACAUUUUGGGUUGUAUUGGGUGGAAACAAGCAGUUCCCAUCGGGGGUUGGAACAAGCUUGUUCCCACCCACUUGAGAGAGAGAGAGAUUUUAAUUUUAAUUUUUAAUUUUAAUUUUUAAAAUUUUAAAAUUUUAAAAUUUAAAUUUAUAAUUUAAAAUUAUAAAUUUUAAAGUUUAAAUUUCAAAUUUGAUAUUUCUAAAUUUUAAAUUUUAAAUUUGAUAUUUUUAGUUUUUAAAUUUAAAAUUUGCUAUUUUAUAUCUUUAAAAUUUAAAUUUGGUCUUAAAUUUGAAUUUUGAUAUUUAAAAUUAUAAUUUCAAAUUUUAAAAUUUAAAAGUUAAAAUUUUCAAUUUCCAAUUUUAAAUUAUAAGUUGAAAAUUUAAAAAAUUUAAAUUCAAUUAUAGGGAUAAUAUCAUUAUUUUAUAUUUAUAACUAACAACUAUUCCUCUUAUUCCCAAUAACCAUCCAAACUUAAUUUUUCUAGUUCCAGCUUAUACUCACAUUUUCAUCCAAAUAAAAAAAUACCCUUGUUCUUAUAAAAAUUCAUACUUAUACCUAUACCUAGUAUAACUAGUUCCUACUAAUUUUUGAACCAAAUGGAGCUUUAUAUUUUAAUUUUUUUUUAAUAUAUAUCUUUAUAAAUGUUAAAGAAAUUGUGAUUAGCCUCAACAAUCCUACAACAUCAAUCAUCUCACUCAAUAGUAUUAAAAUAGCAAUGAUCAUGUACAUGUAACUAAAGCUGACCCUUUGGGGCUUUUUAUGGGCUGUGCUUUGCCUUUGUUCCAAUCAUUUUCCUUUGAUGAUCACACAAGAAUAACUGCAUGUGAUUCUAUAUAAAAGUGUUAAAUAGAAAGUAAAUUUUUACCAAGAUUAAGUGAUUAGAUUUGUCACUCUAAAAAUUCUAGAGUUUGCAAAUAUAUCCUUCUGUUACAAAAAUAUAGAUAACUAUAGACAACAUAUUUAACCACAGUUAAGCAAGAAGUAAAAUAAUCCUAUUUUUAUUAUAAAAUUGAGUCCUCUUAUCUUUCUCUCUCCCUUUCCUUUUUGUCCAUGGCUGCGAUGAGGCCCACAACAGUGAUGAAGUAGAAAGCGAGGCACAAUGGCGGCGACAAAGAUGAGGUGUGAUGCACGGUCGGUGGCGAAGACAAACUGCGUCGCGUGGUUGGAGUCGAGAUUGGAUGCUCCUCAUCUGACGAGGAGAAGAAGAGAAAAAGGGAGCAGAGAAGAGAAAAGAAGGUGACUCCACGAUUUUUUAGGGGGAGAAAAAGAAGAACUCAACCAUAAAGGUAGGACAGAGAGGAAGUGUAACACCCCAAUAAUUCCACAUCGAUCGGGUAGUUAUAACUAGAUGUUGGGCAUAUAGUUUGAUUAGGCUAGACAUAGUAACUGAGCUUAAGUAUUUUGGUCGGUGGUUAGGCCCAACGAGUUAUUAUUACUAGCAGGUCGGGUCUUACAUUUGGUAUCAGAGUCAGUUCAUCAGCCGAAAAUGUGAUAUGAGUCUUGGCUGUGGCAGGGUCGGAAUGACAAGGCUAGCAAGACAAGUCUCACAUCGCUAAUUAUGGCUAGUUGUAGGGGUAUAUAAGCUUGACUAGGCUAGAUAUAAUAACUGUACUUAAGUAUUUUAACGAGUUAUUAUUACUAGUAGGCCGGAUCGUUAUAAGAAGAAAAUGGGUUUCUAUUGGGGCAAAUUUGGAAUGACAAAAUUGCCAUUUCGCUCAUUGUUAAAAAAUUAAAAAUGAACGUAUCUGAUCUUUUGGAGGAAUAUAUUUGCAAAUGAUAGAAUUUUCAAAGGAACAAAUCUGAUCCCUUAAUCUUUGUAGAGAUUUGCUUGCUAUUCGACACCUUUAUAGGAAGCUGUAUGAAAUUAAUCCUUAGAAUUAUUAAUUAAUAGUGAAGUAUCAUCACUAGACAUUGGAGUUAUCUCCGGUGAUCGAUUAUCCGAAUCAAUGUUCGCCUAUUAAACUUAAUUUAGACUAUUUGAACUUUUUAGAUUUUGAAGUUCGUAAUUUUGUGAUAUCAUUUCUCUAGUACUCCAGUGGUUUCAAAAUUAACAAUUUUCAAUGGCUAAUAUGAAGUGAAUCUAAGAAUAUCACUUGAUCACUAGGCAAAUAAUAUCCUAAAAUCGCAAAAUUGAGUUUCUAGAAAGUUCAAAUAGUUUAUUGAAGGUAUCGAUCAUCGAUUCGUAUUCCACAUUGUUGAAAACAACGUGGAAGUAAAUUCUUCUGUUCACUUCUAGAAUAUUUCUAGAAGUAAAUAGGACAUUUCAAUUGACGAUCGGCAGCAUUAAAUAUGAUCUAAGAUAUUUAAACUUUUUAGGUUUCAAACUUUAUAAUUCUUUAUAUCAUUUGACUAGUCUUCAAGUGGUUCAAAAAAUGAUAGCUUCUAGUGGCUAAUGUAAGAUGAAUUUGAGACCACUUGAUCACUAAGCAAAUAGUACAGUUAAAUCAUGAAAUUUGGCUUUUAAGAAGUUUAAAUAGUAUAAAUCAUAUUUAAUAGAGCUGAUCGUGUUGAUUCUAAUCUCCUAUCACCAAAAACAACGUGAAAGUAAAUGACUACGUUUACUUCUACUGGACUGAUUAGACCUCAAAUUAUAUAUGUUAGUAAAAGGACAUUAAUCCACCAAGGCACGACAAAGUAUAUUUAAUUAGCACAUUGGUAGCAAAAGAGCCCUAGAACUUAAAAGUACCUUGUAUCUCUCAAAAACGGAAAAUGAAAAAUUUCUCACAUUUUCUUGGAAACAACAAAAUUUUCUAACAUUUGAACAUGCAGUGUUUACUUGAGAAUGUUGUGAUUCUCAAUACUCCACUUAUAUAUAUUAUUAUUAUCAUGUAUAUUAUUUCAUUGGAUUAUGCUUUUUAGUUUUUUUCCCCUCAGUGUUUUGAUUAGAACUUACAAGUCACACAAUUUUAUCUUCAUUCAAGCCAUAUUACUAAUGUUGAAACAAACCAAGUGGUUGUUUUUAGGAAAAACUUCAAAAUACCAUUCCUGUGGUUUCACAUUUUUUUUACUUUAGUACUCUGUGAUUUAAAGUGUAUCAAUUUAGUACUCUGUGGUUUCAUUUUUAUUUUUUUUAUUAUCGAUUCCACUAAUUUUUUUCGUUAAAUCAGUGACAAAGUUAAAACUAAAGGAUACAAAAGUGAAUAUUCGAUAAAUCUAGAUGGGGUAUCUGAAGUUUUUUGUUUAUAAUUUAACGAAAUCUUAAUGGAGAAGCUGACAAAAAAGAUAAAAAUAAAACCACAGAAUACUAACUUGAUACAUUUUAAACCACAGGUACUAAAGUGAGAAAGUGCGAAACCACAAGGAUGGUAUUUGAAGUUUACCCUUGUUUUUAUGCCACAAUACCAAACUCUAAUUUUGCCAUAUUAUUCAGUCAUGACCAAGGAAUCUAACAAUAGUCUCCCCAAAAUAAAUUCUCAUGCCAAUAAGUCAUAAUCACACUUGAAUUUAUGGGCUUCACCAUGUUUUUGAUGUGGGAAUAGAGUGAAAACAACUUCCACUAUAACAAUGUACCUAAAAAACUCUCUUUUGAAUAGUAAACAUAUGUUCAGGUGUUUCAUUUAAUUUUUAGCUAAGUGUAUUUCUAAAAAAGAUGAACGAAGUGGAUAGUAUGCUGCCUUUCUCUCUCAAAAGAAAAGGGCGAUGCAACUGACAUACUAAACAAUUAUUUGAUAGGGUUAUUGGGUGGUUUAAUUCUGUAGAUAUUAAUUUAUUCUGUGGGCUAAAAGAUUUUUGUAAUCUUCUAAGUUUAUUAAUUGUUAUUAUUUGGCCACUAAAUCGAACUAAUAUAUAGAAGAUGAUUUGAGUUGGAUAUAAUUAAUCUUGUGCAAUAUUCGAAGGUAACUAAUUAAGCACCUUAAGUUUAUGUUAGAUUUGGAUUUUAGGAGUCAUACCUAAAUAACUUAUUGAUUGGGGCUUGGAUCCUCUAAAUUUCUGAUUUGAAUUUAACCGGAUAUGGUAAUCCUUGUAUCGACAAUUCGAUAGUUUCUCAUUUUAGUUUUCUUUUCCAAUAACUUUUUUCAAGGUCUAGAUCCACAAAUAAUAGUUAAGGUGGGCAAUUGGAAUAAUUUCUAAUUAGAUGAUUCACAAUUUAACUUACCUCAAAUGCUUUCAAACACUUAAAAAUUAAGACUCGCUUUAUUUAACAAGAAGUCAACCUAUUCCUAAAUUUUCCACCAUUUUUUUCUCUAUGUCCCCCACUAGCAAAUCAAUAAGAAGUUCAAAAGUCCAAACAAUGUAAACAAAGAACAAAUUCUACACUAACACUACAACAGAAUUAGAUUAUAGGAACACAUAUUUGGGACACUUUUGAGUAAGUGUCCCAUUUAUCCUAAAACUUAAAAAAACAUCUACUAAUGCUUAAAUACAAAGCCCAAUCCAACAAAAAAUAAAAGAUUACUCUACUCAACUCACCACACCCAGUCCAUUUGGCCCGAUUACAAACAGAAAAGAAAAAAAAAAAAAUCAAUUACCAUCUUUUCUUCUCUCUUUACUCAAUCCACUGAAAUUCUAGACGAAGAGCCUUUCCUAUCGUCCUCCUCCGCCACCGCAGCCAACGAGAUAGAGUUUCGGGGGUUGCUAAAUGCUUAAAUAAGUGUUGGUAAAUUAGCAGCACUCUUUUAGGUUAUAGCGACACUCUUUAACUGUCACUAUAUACCUAGCGACCCCAUAUAUAGCAACACUUUUUAAAAGUGUCGGUAAUUUUAGCUGGCAGCACUUUUUUGACAUGUACCUACAUUUAAAAGUGUCGCUAUAGACCGUUUUUGUUGUAGUGUAAAAGCUUCUCAAAACCCUUUCUUUGGCUUGCUCUUACACCUCUUCUUUUAGUUACACCUCCUUCUAGUUAGACAAUUAAGUGGCAAAGGAUUUGGUGGUUGGUAUCCGAGACCCAAGUUCGAAUCCUAGUUGAUUCACAUUUUCAGCUAAGUUUAUUUCUAAAUGAAAUAAAUAAAGCGGGUAGCGUGCUACCUAUCUCUCAAAAAAAAAAAAAAAAAUUUAAGAGUUCUCGGUUUUGAAGCAUUGAAUGUAGAAUAUAUUUUGUUUUGACCAUAUCCAUUUUGAUUAAAGUUUUAGCUCCGCAAUUGCCUCGCCAUCGUUGUCAUAUUCGUGACUAAUGUGGAGUUCCUUUAAGACCUAGAGGAACUAGUUUGAGGUCUAAUUGUUCAUCAUUCAAAAGUAAAAAGAAUUACAAAUAUUGUGUCUCUAUUCCAAAAUGUUCACUACUUAUUAUUAUAUACAAAUAAGAUCAUUUUGAUAAAGUAAGAUCAUGGCCAUUAAUUAGUGAGUAAUAAUUGGUUUUCAUAUGACUUCAAAAUACUACGUAGCUAGGUGUUUGAACCUGUUUACUUGUUGCCUCUACAUAUAUAUAAAGUUGUAAAAAACCACAUAAUUAGCCAAUCUUAUUUUAUCUUCCUAUACUUUGAUCACAUGUCUCUAUUCUCUCUCUCUCUCUCUCUCUCUCUCUCUCUCUCUAUAAAAAGCCUCAGUUGCCACUCUUUACUUCCUGAGAUAACUCCAAAUCGAUCCAUCCUUUUCCACCUCAUAGCUAGUAUUACACUAUUACUCUCUCACCUCUCUCUCUCUAGAUUAUAUAUAUACAUACAUCAAUAUAAAUUCUUUAUCUCCUACUACCUUAAAAGUGUGAGUACCUUACUAAUAAAGCAAAGUAAAGAAGAGAUCAUGGAACUUAGGAGAGGUCCUUGGACAGUGGAUGAAGACCUUAUGCUCAUCAACUACAUCGCCAACCACGGCGGAGGCCAAUGGAACUCUCUCGCCCGCUCUGCAGGUAUAUAUAUAUAUAUAUAUAUAUGAAUAUAUAUACAUAUAGAUACUUGUACUGAAUUUUCUCGGUUUCUUUCUUCUCCAGAUACUGAUGUUUUGCUAAAUAUUUUCAUUUUUGGUGUUCAAUACAUAACAUUAUUUGGAGUAUAAGCGUGACGAUCGAUGUAGUCGAAAUUUUUCUCUUGGUAUAGGAGUUAUAUGGCAAUAUUUCAAUCAAACUAGUUAGUUGUUUCAAAACACUGUGUGUGUGAGAGAGAGAGAGAGAGAGAGAGAGAGAGAGAGAGAGAGAGAGAAUCUAUAUGUGGACAAUCUAGCCAAUCAUAGAUAAGAUUUAACAUUUUAUGGUAUUGUUUGGAUGGGAAUAUAAAGGAGAAUAAGGGAGCUUAUUCUGUUUGCAGUCUUAACGGAUUAUUCCAAAAUAAUCCAUUAAAAGAAGAACAUCGUAGUUCCUGCAUGCCUAGUUCAUGCUAAUCGUAGAAAUGAUAUAUGUAACAAAAAUUAAUAAGAACAGCUUAUUCUCGAACCACCUCUUAAGAUGUUCUUCGAUGAUAACGGUAAAUGAAGAUCUUAUCAUCAUAUGUACAGUAAAACUCGCACAUGGCUAUAUAAUUGGGUUUCUAAUGCAUGAGAUUAUCGAUAUUUAGAAAACUAAGCCAAUAAUUAGUAUUUGUUUUAAUAUUUAACACGAUCUUAUCUUCUUUUAUAUAUGCAUGAGAGCAGGUCUGAAACGAACUGGAAAGAGCUGCAGGCUUCGAUGGCUCAACUAUCUACGGCCGGACGUCCGGCGCGGCAAUAUCACUCCCCAGGAACAGCUGCUCAUUCUCGAGCUCCACUCUCUAUGGGGAAACAAGUAAAUUCAUAAUCUUUUCAUCGCGUCGACAAAAUCAAAUUGCAACAACUCAUAAAGAUUGAGUAAAAGUUAGAGAAAUAACUAAACUUAGUUAAUGAGUUUUAGUUGUAUGGUAUAGAUAAUUGAGUCUUGGUCCUAACUCCCCUCCCAUUGAGAAUUGAAAUAAAACUUUAUUUGUCGCACAAGCAAAUUAUAAGUUUGAAUAAAAGCUUUUUGUUUUUAAACCUAAAAUUAAUUAUUUAGGCAUGUUAACAAUAUAUAUAUAUAUAUGUUUUUUUUUUUUUUUUUGAGAGAAAAGUAGCACGUUACCCGCUUUGUUUAUUUCAUUUAGAAAUAAACUUAGCAAGAAAUGUGAAUCAACUAGAAUUCGAACUUGGGUCUCGGGUACCAACCACCAAGCUCUUUAGCCACUUGCACUAGGGACGGUCGGUAUAUAUUUUACACCUCUUAAACUAGGAGUUUAAACCCCUCUUCGAAGUUUAGUACUAAAGAAAAAAAAAAUGCUAUUUGUACACUCUGUUAUAGUAUAUAGACCUUACAUCUCGUGAUCCCAGGAUUUAGAAAAUCUUUUUUGAGUUUCUAGUUUUAGAAAAAAGUGGGUAAAAUAAGUGAGUAAAUCUUGGGUUUUUAAAAAAUCAAGCCGUAAGAUUUACAUCUAUAAUAUUAUAAGUGUACAAAUAGCAUUGUUCUUUUCAAACAAUUUUAUUAUAAGGCUACUACUGCUUCAUGGAAGCUUCAAUAUGUCAAAAAGACACAAUUAAAAUGGUAAACAAAGAUCAUAGACUCAUAGUACUAUUAGUACAACUUUUUUGUUAGUCCAAAUUUUCCAUGAUCAAUAAAGACAACUAAAGGACUAUAAAAAAAGCAACUAACACAUAGUAAGAAGAAUUUCAUACGGCUCUUCUUUCUCUUUUUUUACUUAUUCUCUUCAAAAUAGGUGGUCCAAGAUAGCACAACACUUGCCUGGAAGGACCGACAACGAAAUAAAGAAUUAUUGGAGGACGAGAGUGCAAAAGCACGCGAAGCAGCUCAAUUGCGAGGUCAAUAGCAAGAAAUUCCGCGAUACCGUCCGGUACCUCUGGAUCCCCCGCCUUGUCGAGCGCAUUCGGGCAGCGUCGAGCAGCGCGAGCUGUCCUAUCGCUACAUUUUCCAGCUCAUAUAAUUCUGCUACCGUCACCGCCACUGCCGCCGCUGCCACACGGUUCUCCUCACCUACUGUGUCGGAAUGUGUCACGGAUUGCUACUCUGGUUCAACAUCCGCACAGGGAGAUGACGCGAUUCGUGAGGAGAGUAUUAUGUGUGGUGGAUUAGAUGAGUCCAUAUUUAGCCAGAGGGAUUAUGAUAAUUACGCGGGAUUAGUAGAAUGCAAUAACUUGUGGAGUGUAGAGGGCUACAACUGGAACUUUUAAUAGAAUUUACACUUAUUACUAUCCCUAUAUUAUGUCAUGAUUUUGUACUUUGCACUUUAAGAACUUUUAGUUUCUGAGCUUUGACAUUUAUUAUCUUUUAGUUUCUAAUUGUUAAAAAAAAUGAGUUCCAUAUAAAAAUUAUUGACUACUUUAUAUCUUUACAUGAAAUUAAUGAUUCAAAUAUUUCGUAAUACUUCAGACUAUAUUAAUUAAAAUAUCAUUUUACAAUAAAAAUUAUAAUUACUACUAAUUAGGAAUAUAUGUAAAAGUUUAGCAAUCAAUUUGUUUUUUUAAAAAAUAAGUAGGCUAAAAUGUUGGGAUGAUUCAGGGACUAGCUAUAUAUACGUUUUACCAAGGAUUAAUUAAUUAACAAGGGUCUUGAACAAAAUUGUACAGAAAAAAGAAUAAAAAAGUAAUAUCUCUAAGUUUCAUAGAGAAUUUGAUAUUUUGAUAUAACUUGUAACACGAUUUUAAGAUCAUCACUGAAUUUUGAAAGAAUAUAAGGGACCAUUCAAAUGACUUUAUAUCUUUGUAAGAAUUUCUCAAAUUGCAUAAAAUUCAAAUGAAUUUAAAAAGUUUCUAUCUUUAAGGGGUAAUCUACCAAUGAUCAUUUGACUUUGUAGAUUUUAUAUCAAUAUAUAUAUUUUUUUCAAUUAACUUUUAAUUUAGUUUUGUAAAAAUUUUGAUCACUUUGAUAAUCCGGAGGAUCUAUGCAAGGUUUUUUUUUUUUUUGAGAGAAAGGUAGCAUGCUACCCGCUUCAUUCAUUUAGUAGAUGAAUUUAGUUACAGGGAUUGAGGCAAUGCGGCCUCGGAAAACGUUGAAGGCAACCAAAACAAAAAUGACAAAUAAAAACUAAAAUUAAAAAAACUAUAGAAAAUUGAUACUUGUACUCCUCACUCAAAACCCCUUACUCAAAACCAAUGCAUUAAGAGCUGCAAAACUUAGUCCAUUCUCUAUUCACGUUCCGUAUUCGUCUAAUAGUCAAAAAAGAGACAAAUGAUUGGCUUCUAAAAAUAAUAUUAUUUCUUUCUUGCCAGAUUAUUCACGAACAGGUUACGACCCUCGUUAGAUCCCUCGCAACUGCCCCUUGGCAGCGGUCCCCAGCAAGAAGCUCCCAAACACUCCUGACCUUCAUCCCAUGCCCUGGAACUUGGCGGCGUUCCCCAGCCAGAAGCUCCCAAACACUCCUGACCUUCAUCCUAGGCCCUGGAAUGUGCCUACCUUCUAGGAUGUUGUACAUAAAAAAUCCACUGAUUACGCAUCCAACUAGCAGAUGAUCAACAGUCUCGAAAUCGUUACCGCACAUCACACACUGUUGAGUCCCAAACCAGCCUCUUUUGAGUAAGUUGUCAACCGUAGGUAGGCGCGUUUCUUAAGUGCUAACCAAAUAAAAAUUCUAACUUGAGAUGGUAUUUUCAACUCCUAAACAUUUAGCAUAAGAAAAUCUCGAACUCCGCCAUUUCGAAUCAGUUCAUACAUCGACUUAAUGGUGAAACAUCUUCUUGCGUUCCAUAUCCAUCGAAUUUCAUCAGGCCUCUUUAAAACAUGAAAACUUGAAAGGAAAUCCUUAAAUUCUUUGAUUCUGUUGUCAUCCCUCCCGAUCCCGGCUCCUCGUUGGAUUUUUCUAUGCAAGGUUGAUAUCAAGUCAUACAGAUCUUUCAAUUGUUCCUUUCAAGCUUAAUCACUCAUUUAGAAGUAUUCUAGUCAGAUUCAACCCAUCCUUUAGAAAAAGGUUGCUAUGCUGAUAAUAAUAGGAGAAUUUGUGUUCUAUAUUUUUUUUUUGACAACUACUGAUGUAAACAAUAUCUACUUUUAAAGUAUAACUAAUGUUGCAUUAUUAUAAUCACAUUAGCUUGUUUCCAUAGUUGUGGGUAACUAAAAUACAGUCAAAAGCCUACAAAGUUGUUAGGAAUGAGAAUUUUUUUUUUCUCAAUUGGAAGUGUAGCAUAUAUUGACCAAGAAACUUUUAUUAUAAAAAGAUAAAUCCUCCAAUCUUCUUAUGAAACCUAGUUGUAAGGGAUGUUUAAACAAAACAUGGACUCUGAUACCAAUUCGUUACAUUUAAUUGAAAGGAAUACAUGAUAAUAUUGGCACAAAGGGGGAAAAAAAGAGAGCAAAAAAAAAAUGUCAUGUGAAGUAAAGGAAAAAAGAAAAGAACAUGCCGCAUUAUGUAGAAGAUAGAUUAGUUAAUUAGAAAAAAAAAAAAAAAAAAAGAAGAAUGCUUCUUUAGUUUGAAUCCUUACUAGAUCUUUGUUGUGUUUUUGUAUUGAAAUAUUUUCUACCUUGUUAUUAUGGUCCCCUUAUAAGGUGUUUGUUGUUGUUGCCUUUUCAUAGUUAAAGAAAAUUAAAGUUUUUUUUUUUGUUUUUUUUUUACGAAGAGAGAGAAAAGUUUUUUUUUUGAGAGAGAGAGAUAGAUAGUACGCUACCCGCUUCGUUUAUUUCAUUUAGAAAUAAAUUUAGUUGGAAAUGUGAAUCAACUAGAAUUCAGUACUGUUGGUUGUUGUUACAUGGUGAAACUAUAAAUUAAGUUCAAUGUAUUUCAACUUUUGCUUUAAAAAAGAAAAGAAAAAGAAAAAAACUUAAUACCAAAGAAUUGAAAUAUAGAUGCCUAGUAAUACAAUUUCAAAGUUACCUAACAUGGUUAGUGGCAUUGAUGCUUUUUGAAGUGCUUAGUGAGGUAGGAUCUCAAAACUUUUCUAAUUUCAUUGCAUCUCUUUCAUUUGAUAUAAUCUUUAAAAUAAUUGUACCAAUCUCAAGGUAAAUCAACAAAAUUUACUUUAUAUUUGUAAUUUCAUUGCCUUUGUGAAGUGUAGGUUGUUAUUAUAUUAUAAUGAGACUUUUAUGGUCAAUAUUUGUAUUUAACUUUAAUGAUGUUAAGGAAAAGAAAAUAAAAAAAAAGGAUAAAAAAGAAUAGAAUAGAUGACUAGCAAUAUAAUUUUAAUAUUGCCCAUAUGUUAAUACUUAAAUAGUAUAUAUUGAUGCUUUUAAAAAUGGUAAAUGAUUUCAAUUAAUGCACCUCUUUGAAUCAAUUAGAUUAAUCUCAACACCCUUUUUGUAUUAAAAAUGCAUACAUUAAUUUUUGUCCUGCACUUUAACAUUACUUCAUUUAAUGCAACAAAAAAUUUUGAAAUUGUUAAAAAACAUGUUAAAUUAUAUGAAAUAACUAUUUAUUUUCAAGCACUCAAUUUGAUCGACACUACAACAGAACUAGGUUAUAGGAACACAUUUUUUGGACACUUUUAUAUAAAUGUUCCAUUUAUGCCAAUACUUUUUUAAAAAAUCUACUAAAGACUAAAUAUAAAGCUCAAUCCAAUCAAAAAUAAAAAGUUCCUCUACUCAGCCAACCACAUUCAGCCCAUUCGGCCCGAUUACAAAUAAAAAAGAAAAAAAAAAUUGAUCACCAUCUCUCAUUUUCCUCCUCUGCCAUUGCAGCCAAUGAGGUAGGGUUCCGACGGUUGAAGUUUGGCCACGAGGAUCUCACAGGGACCAUAAAAGCCUACGAUCGGCAUGUAUUCCUCCGCCACAGAUCGCUAUAGGAUAUAUCGCUGGAGGAGUGGGUGCCAAAUAUCAAGACGGUUCUAACUAUGGCGACCCCACAUAUAGCAACAUUUUUAAAAAGUGUCGAUAAAUUUGCUAGCAUCUUUUUUUUAUAUAUGUAUUGGUAUUUAAAAGUAUCGCUAUACACCAUUUUUGUUGUAGUGCGAGGCUUAAAAUUUCUUGGUAGGCUUAAAAUUUCUUGGUGGGCCUACGACAUGGACUUUGCAAUAAACGUGAGGAAAUCAAUUAUGAUAGGAGCCUGGCGUGAUUCAAGCUCAAAACUUGCUGUUCGGUAUCAUAACCAUGUUAAAAAAUAUGAAUUAAUUAUUUUUCUCUAAAAAUUUAAGCUGUCAGAUAACGAUAUUUUUAUAUAUUUUAUUUUAUACUAAACAAAAUCAGAUGUAAAAUUUUACACAAGUGUAUUGCCUAUAACCUCAGUUCUAUAUAAAUAACUGCACUGGAAAAAUUGAUCUAAUAUGCAUGAUGGGAUGGUAAUAGUUUAAAGUCAGAAAUAAUCUUAUCAUUAUAUAAGUUGGAAAUUAAAUAAUAAAUGAAAAAUUAGAUAAGAGAUUAUAUUUUAUCAUGAGAAAAAAUGCAAAAAAGAAUUGUAUUUCUACAAUAAACCUCUGAACUUUUGAUUUUGAAACUUAGACCCCUAAAAUCUUAUCAAAUAUGUUAGCAAAAUUAUCAAUUACACAGCCAUCUCGGUCGCAAGUCGUGACAUCUUGCAUAUAAUCUUAUAAAGCUUCGGGGCAUAACAAAUUUAUUUAUUUUUUCUAUUUUAGCGCGUUAGAAAAGCAAUACAACAUGUGAUUUCAACAUAGGUUCCAAAAAAUUAGGUAGAAUAGAAAUACAGGGAGACCCAUAUCAACUAUAGGACAAUUUGAAAUAGCCCCCGCAACAUUUAUUUAUUUUCAUCAACACCUCUUAGGUUUUGGUGUGAAUUUGGUGAUUUUAGUCAAAUUAAUUAAGAAUUUUAUCUAAUUUAUCAGUAAUUUUAUCAAAUUUAAUAAUUUUAAUUAUAAUUAGCUGAUAAAAUUAGGCUAAUUAAUAGUAACAGCUAAUAGAGCUUUCAAAUUAGCAAAAUUUUUAAGUUUAUUAACUAAAAAAAUUAAUUUAAAAUUUUAUAAAUUAAAAAGGUGAAAAUAAUAAUAAAAAAAAACUUGAAUGGUCUAUUUUGAGAAUGGUCAUAGUUUGGACUUUGGUUAAAUCUUUGGAUAAAUUUUCAAACAACCAAUCUCUUCCUAACACGUGUCGGCUUCUUAUUCGCUGGUCCACCAAGACUACAAGGACACGCUCUCUCGGAGGUCUUCGUGCCACGUCAGCGCCUCCGCGGGAGAACGCCGUGGAUCCCGCCGUACGAGGCGGGAGGUUGAUGAGCGGUCGCUUUCGUGCCACGUGGCUGGUCAAGCCCACUGGGGCCCACAAUGGGAAAAAGAAUAACCUGAAAUAUAUAUAUAUAUAUAUAUAUAUAUAUAUAUAUAUAUAGAACUAGAUUAAUAUACUAUUAAUAGCAUCAAGUCAUUGGUGCUACCAAGUUUUUGGCCAUUGGAUUAAGCGAUGUGCGGUUAGGAUGAUGUGGGCCCCCUAGGGUUGAGUGGGUGGUUGGUUGAAUAGUAUGAUCUAACGGGUAAAAAUGAUCAAAAGGGUAGAUCUAACGGCGAAAAACUUGGUAGCACCAAGUAUUUGGUGCUAUCGAUAGCAUAGCAGCCGGACUCUAUAUAUAUAUAUAUAUAUAUAUAUAUAUAAUUAGGCUGGAAUACUAUUAAUAGUAAAACGCUCUUUUUGCUAUCAAGUUUUUAACCUUUGGAUGAAAAAUUGUAGAGUCGGUUAGAGUUGAGCGGUCCCCCUAGGGUUGAGUAGUCCUCACUGGGUUAUAGUAUUUAAUCCAAUGGUUAGAAAUAAUGAAAAGAGUUGAUCCAAAGGCUAAAAAAUUAGUAGCAAUAAUAGAAUUUUGCUACUAAUAGUAGCCCAGUCCAACUAUAUAUAUAUAUAUAUAUAUAUAUAUAUAUAUAUAUAGUGAGGCUAGUAUGCUUUUGGAAGCACGAAGCGCUCUGUGCUUUCAAGUUGUUUUCGAUGUUAGGACUUUCGAAUCGAUGAUCGGCUCCGUUAGAGUUGAUCUAGAGUAUUUAAAGUACCGANGAGUUGAUCUAGAGUAUUUGAAGUACCUAGAAAAUAAAUUUUGUGAUUUUUCGAUAUCAUUUGCCUAGUGAUCGAAGGGGCUCAAAAUCAAUAAUUUUAAUGGCUGUGGUGAGCCGGUUGCAAGUUUAACGGUAUAAAAAUAUCCAAAUCGCAUGAAAUUUUGAUAGAAAAUUCUUUAUACCAUAUAAAACAAGAUCAAUAACUUUGAUCUAAAAUUUUAAUGGCAUAUCAUCAUAUUUUGUAAGAUUUUUAUUUUUAGCCGUUGAUUUUGAGCCACUUCGAUCACUAGGCAAAUGAUAUCGAAAAAUCGCAAAAUUUAUUUUCUAAAUACUUCAAAUACUCUAGAUCAAGUCUAACGGAGCCGAUCGUCGAUUCGAAAGUCCGAACAUCGAAAACAAAGUGGAAGCACGGAGCGCUCCGUGUUUCCAUCAGCAUACUAGACGCACUAUAUAUAUAUAUAUAUAUAUAUAUAUAGAAUUGAGCUAGAAUAUUUUUAGAAGUAUCACCUCCUUGGUGCUUGUAGGUUUCUAGCCCUUGGAUCAAACACUAUUCCACCUACCACCAUCAUCCCAACCUUACAUCUCUCCAUCUAAGGGUUAAAAACUCAAAAACACUAACCUCUUCGUGCUUUUGAAAGUAUUCUAGCCCAACUCUAUAUAUAUAUAGGCUGGGGCUACUAUAGUCUUAUGAGUAUAAACCCCUUGUACUCAUAAAUUUUUAACCGUUGAUUGAUGGGAUGUGCGGUCAAGAUGAUGGUGGUCCCCAUUUAGAAUGAUAGUAGUCCCCUAGGAUUGAGUGGGUAGUUGGUUAAAUAGUAUGAUCUAACGGUUGAAAAUGGUUAAUAGAAUAAAUCUAAGGGCCGAAAACUUAUAAGAAUAAAAGAGCCAAUACUCAUAAAAAUAUAGUAGCCGAACUCAUAUAUAUAUAUAUAUAUAUAGAAAGAGAGAGAGAGAGAGAGAGAGAGUUGAGUUAUAAUACUCUCAAAAGCACCCCGGGGUUGGUGGGUGCUUUUGAGUUUUUAACUAUUGGAUGGAGAGAUGUAGGGUUGAGAUGAUGAUGGUAGGUGGUGGUAGGUGGAAUAGUAUUUGAUACAAAAGUUAUUAGUAAUCAAGGAAUAGAUUCAAGGGCUAAGAACUCAAAAGUACAAAAGGGUUGGUACUUUUGAAAGUAUUCUAGCUCAAUUAUAUAUAUAUAUAUAUAUAUAGAGUUGAGCUAGAAUACUUUUACAAGUAUCACCUGGGUGGUGCUUUAGUGUUUGUAGCUCUUGGAUGGAGAGAUGUGAGGUUGAGAUGAUGGUGGUAGGUGGUGGUAGGUGGAAUAGUAUUUGAUCCAAGGACUAUUAGUAAUUAAGAAGUAGAUCCAAUGGCUAAAACCUAAUAGCACCAUGGAGGUGAUACUUGUAAAAGUAUCCUAGCUCAACUCUCUCUAUACUAAUAUAUAUAUAUAUAUAUAUCAUUCAAAUUUUUGAAAAUAUUUUUUGAAAAUAUUUUUUUUAUUCUCAAGAAUCAAAAUAUUUUUAUUAAUUUCAAUAAAAUUUUUCAAAUGUUUUUAUUUUUUUAAGAUUUAGUAACUAUAUUAGAUUUUAAAAGAAUAUUUUGGUAAUUUCAAAAUAAAUUUAAAAUUUUUUUAUUGUAGUAAAAUAUGAAUAAGGAAAAAGUUUCAUGGACUUAUCCCAAAGCAAUCAUAUUGUACCAAACGAGUUAAAAAAAGUCCGAUAAUAUAAUAAUUAAAAAUAAAAAUAAUAUUUUUUAAGGUCUCCUGUGGAAUUUUAAAACACUAGUUUUUUAUAAUUUAGGACAUGUUUUGUUUAUAAUCGGAAUGAAAAUUUAAAAUUAAAUUAAAUUGCAGUAUAAUGAAAAAUAGACGAAAUAUGCAUAAAUAUUUCGUUUAUGUUUGGAAUGAAAAUUGAAAUAAAUAAUUGGAUGUCUAGAAUUUUGAGAGAGUGUUUUGAUUAUGGAAGAGACGAGCGAUGAACGGAGAGUGGAGGCGUUUGUAAAAGAAAAUUAAGUAUAUUAUUCUGAAAUUGGCUAAUCUACUAUUUAAA
rnacentral:lncRNA from 1 species